rnacentral:rRNA from 1 species
GAUGAACGCUGGCGGCGUGCUUAACACAUGCAAGUCGAACGAAGCACUUAAUGAGAUUUCUUCGGAUUGAUUAUUUUGUGACUGAGUGGCGGACGGGUGAGUAACGCGUGGGUAACCUGCCCCCAGACCGGGGGAUAACAGUCGGAAACGACUGCUAAUACCGCAUAAGCGCACAGUGCCGCAUGGCACGGUGUGAAAAACUCCGGUGGUCUGGGAUGGACCCGCGUCCGAUUAGUUAGUUGGUGGGGUAACGGCCCACCAAGACUGCGAUCGGUAGCCGACCUGAGAGGGUGACCGGCCACAUUGGGACUGAGACACGGCCCAGACUCCUACGGGAGGCAGCAGUGGGGAAUAUUGCACAAUGGAGGAAACUCUGAUGCAGCGACGCCGCGUGAGCGAGAAGAUUUCGGUAUGUAAAGCUCUGUCAGCAGGAAGAUAAUGACGGUACCUGACCAAGAAGCCCCGGCUAACUACGUGCCAGCAGCCGC